GUUUGUGUUAUAACUUUCGAUGCGCCUUAGGGUAUUGCGCUGUUGCGUAAGCGCUGUCAUUCGGAUUGCAACAAGGGCAUACAGAUACAUCAUAAUUAGUAAGAUGUCGAGACCAGACAUAGGGGAGUACCGUCCACACCAGUAUGAGACAGCAGGAGAAAGAAGUGCCAGACUUGCGAAAGAAAACCCAAUGAUGACAAUAGGUGUGGCUGGGGCGUUAGGAAUUGUGUUAUACAGAAUUUUCAAUAUAAAAAACAGAAACAAAACCCAAAGAUUUGCAAACUAUGUAGUAUAUACAAGAAUGUACGCACAAGGUUUGCUUGUGGCAUGUUUCGGAUAUGGCAUAGUGGUGAAUGUUUUCAGUCACUAUCGUAAAAAAUGGUUUGGUUCACGGGAGGGAACAGCAACAGCAGAAGCAAAGAGCAUAGAAGAAAAAUGAUGCGUGUUUUAAAAUUGUUUUAUUUUAGUGGUACAGUAACUCUAGAUUUCAAGUAAGAUGUUGAUUAUAGUAGUGCAGUAAGGAUCUUAAAAGAUCUGAUAAUGUAUGUACACAGUCUUGCCAGAAAUUGUUUCCUCUGGCCAUCAGAACUUUAUAUUUGGCUAUCAAAACUUCCAUUUGGCCAUCAAAACUUUCAUUUGGCUAUCAAAAGACGGCAUGUUUUAUUGAAUAAUCUAAAGACUUUUCAGAUAUUAAAAUAUUGUAGUGAUGCACUUGGAAAAAAGGUGGACACUUUUUUUUAACAUCCAAUAAUCAGGUCAUAUUUUCAAUACUCAGUAAGAAUGUUCAUCAUUCAGAUAUUUGUCAAUGAAAUGAAUGAAUACAAUACAACAUUUAAUUUCAUAGUUUUUGUCAAAAUGGCUAUUUCUUGGUGAUGUACACAAAAUAAAUGAAAAUUUUACUUGUUUGUUGGAACUUAUUUACUGGUAAGUGGGUUGGCUCAGCCAAGAAAUAAGAAAAAUUAGUCCCCCUUUUAGUGUAAAAUUAUUUCAUAGUAUGUAAUGCAUACAUGUGCAAAUUUUUGAAUCCAGAGUUUAUUGAAGAACUGAGAAUACACACUACUCUGAAGUCUGAACAGAUUUUAAGUUCUAUUUUAGUGUUUAAUGCACAAAUUAAGCACACAAUGUCAUGAAUAUGUAGAGUGUAGGUUCCCUUUCAUAUGAUAUGAGAUCGUUUAUUUUUGUAGGGGACUAAUUUUGUAUCAGUCCACUUCAAAUUAAAUCCUGACAAAUAAUGUGAUACUUAUUUUUUAUCUUUUUAUUUUAUCUUUGAAUUUUGAAACCCAUCAGUUAUUGUCCCUACAAAUUAAAAUUGUUGUAUUUGUAAAAAAUGUAUACCCACAGAAUUCAUUGUAAUGAAAUGAUCAAUUAAUAUAUGGAAUAAAUCUUUUGUUGACUCAGCAUUCUUGUUUAGGUGCCUGGAUAGGAACUUAAGUUUUACAUAAAGUGGUGAAAUAAUAUUUGGGACAAAGUUAAGUGAGAGAGAUCAAAAAUGGAAGCUGAGAGAGUGAGAUAUUCAUUAAUUUAGAUAUGUACAGUACCUGUUUUCUUUGUAUCUUAUAAUAAGUUGUAUUAUGCUAAAUUACAUUAAACUGAUUACUUUGUGUAUAAAUUUUUAACUUAACAAGGUCAUCAGAUACACAGCUGGACCUGUGUUUGGGAAAAGACAAAGAAAUGGAAAUAUUUAAUAUAUGUUUUCUGCUAUAUACCUGUUGUUUUCCUUCUUUAUACAAACAAUGUAUAUGCUGGUAUCAUGCCUAUCAAAUGGCUUCCAGUACAACGUAUCAGAAAAGUAAUGAGAGAAUUGCUGCAUGACAGUUUUCUUUAAAGCUUUGCCCACUAGCCAGUGUUAGCACACAUAUAAGGAAACAAGAUAUUAUAAUAAAGAUCCUCAUUUAGUAAUUUGCUUCAACUUUUAAAUAGGUAUUCCUCAUCAUCACCCAGAUCAUAUCUCACAAGAGCCAUGACUGUUGUUACGCUGAUAUUUUAUGAAUUAUCCCCUACUUUUAUGUAGAAUUUCAGGUUAAAACUUUUAUGAACUUCCACUCAGUCUUGGUUUUAACUAAAUCGAUUUUUGUCACACACAUCAUGUGAGACAAGGUCCAGAACUCUUGCUGCUCUAUUUCAUGAAUUGCCCACUUGUUGCUUAGAAUUUUAGGUUAAUUUUGAUGCAUUUUCACUAUAUGUUAUAUGAUUUAAUUCAAAGGUUAAUUAGUUGUUCCAAAUCAUCAGCAUCAUUUGACGCAAGGGCCAUAAUUCUGGAACCAAUAUUUUAUUAAUUAUCCCCCUUUUUACUAAAAUUUCAGGUUAAAAAUUUGAUGCACUUUUGCUAUAUCUCUGUUAUUACCAAACAGAUUUUUAGCCCACCAUCCAGAUGGUGGGCUAUUCAAAUCACUCUGCGUCCGUGGUCCGUCAUCCGUCCGUAUGUUAACAAUUUCUCGUUAUCGGAUCUCCUCAGAAACUACGGGAGGGAUUUUGAUCAAACUUUGUCAGAAUGGUGUAUUGGUACCCUAGUUGUGUCCCUCUGAAAAUCAGACUGGUUCAACAAUUUUUGAGUGUGUUAUGGCCUUUUGUUAGCUCAGCUGUCACAAAGUGACAAGCUGAGCUUUUGUGAUCGCAUGGCGUCCGUCGUGCGUGCGUGCGUAAACUUUUGCUUGUGACCACUCUAGAGGUCACAUUUUUCAUGGGAUUUUUAUGAAAGUUGGUCAGAAUGUUCAUCUUGAUGAUAUCUAGGUCAAGUUCGAAACUGGGUCACGUGCGGUCAAAAACUAGGUCAGUAGGUAUUAAAAUAGAAAAACCUUGUGACCUCUCUAGAGGCCAUAUUUCUCAAUGGAUCUUCAUGAAAAUUGGUCAGAAUGUUCAACUUGAUGAUAUCUAGGUCAAGUUCGAAAUUUGGUCACGUGCAGUUAAAAAGUAGGUCAGUGGGUUUAAAAAUAGAAAAACUUUGUGACCUCUCUAGAGGUCAUAUUUUUCAUGGGAUCUUUAUGAAAAUUAGUCAGAAUGUUCACCUUGAUGAUAUCUAGGUCAAGUUCGAAACUGGGUCACGUGCGGUCAAUAACUAGGUCAGUAGGUCGAAAAAUAGAAAAAACCUUGUGACCUGUUUAGAGACCAUAUUCUUCAUGAGAUCUUCAUGAAAAUUGAUGAGAAUGUUCACCUUGAUGAUAUCUAGGUCAAGUUCAAAAGUGGGUCACGUGCCUUAAAAAACUAGGUCAUUAGGUCAAAUAAUAGAAAAAUCUUGUGACCUCUCUAGAGGUCAUAUUUUACAAUGGAUCUUCAUGAAAAUUGGUCAGAAUUUUUUAUCUUGAUGAUAUCUAGGUCACAUAUGCUCAAAAACUAGGUCACUAUGUCAAUAAUAGAAAUAACGACAUCAUACUCAGUUCAACACUGGGUCAUGUGGGGAUAGGUGAGCGUUCAGGAUCAUCAUGGUCCUCUUGUUUAUUUUAAUUUCUGAUAUAAUUUUAUACAGUGGCCCUCCAAGUAGUUAAUUAGCUUUUUAUGGCCUUGCCUGUAGAAGGGUCAUAAAGUCUGCAGACACUAAUGAGAUAAUGAUUCAAGUUGUUCAUUAUUUUCCUAUUACACCUCAGCAGUGAAUGGACUACCCUAACAGAUUGAUGAUUAAUUUUAGUACUCAAAUUUUUGGUUUAAUUAUUAGUUACAAUAUAAGUAAUUAUAUGUGCAUUCUUUCCUGUUUGGCACCAUAUAACCUAAACUGUGUUGGUGCGCCGUAAAACCCAAAUAAAAUAAAUAAAUAAAUAAAUUCUUUGUAUCAUAAUAAGAAAAAAAUAAUAAUUGCAUAUAACUCAUUAAUGGUGUCAUCUCUCUUGUUUAGGGUAUGGUUUUAAUUAUUAGUUAUAAUUAUUAGUUACCGGUACCUACUUUAAGGAUUUUGAACUAGUCUUGAAAUUUGGAACAUUCAAAAAUGACUCAGUGAUGGGUGCCAAGAUCACUCUGAUCUCUUGUAUUCAGAUGUAAAAGAGUUGUUUCACAUUACCCACAUCAUUUGACACUAGUGUCAUAACUCUGGCACCAAUAUUUCAUGAAUUAUGCUCUAUUCUUGUACAAAAUUCGAGGGAUAUAUACAUUGUAGAAGUCCUAUUAUGGUUGUUCUGUUGGGUAGUUGUUUGUCCAUUGAAAAAACAUUAACUAUUUCAAAAAUUUAAGAGGGCUUAUGAAUUAAACCAAUUAAAUGACAUACAUAUAUUUCAAAAUCAUCUUGUUGUUUUCAAAACCACCAUGAUCAUUAAAGUUUGUGUACAACUUUAAGAAGGAUUCCGAUAAAAUUCCCUGCCCUUUCUUUUCUUCUCUUACUUGAAUUCAUCUUGUGAUUGUAGAAACUUGACACAUGAAAUGUUUUGUGCCCUGUGACAAAGCGGAUUUGCUGGACUGUAAUCCAACAGAAUAAAUUUUUUAUUUUAAAACCAUGCAUGCAGUUAUUUUUAACAUUAAAUAACUAGAUCUAACUAAAACAUUGAUGUACAAAUCAUCCCUAGAAAAUUUAAGCUUAGGCCUCACCAAAUUAGAAAGUUGUUCAUCGGAUUUGCCGCUCAUAUAUUUUCAGAAACACAAAAAAAAUAUUUUUUUUUUUUUGGCUUGCGCUCGCCCCAUUGAAAAAAAUCAAUCCAAACUUUUUUGCUGCGCUACUUUUUACGGACGUAAAAGUGUAUAAAUGCUUAUACUUCCAGUCCCAGAUUGUUCUCAAAUGAAUUUUAAUCAAAAUAAAUACAUACUACGCACACAUCGUCUAUAAUAAAUCAUAAUACUUAUAUCUAGUUACAUUAAAGUUAUUUCCCCUUUACUGUAUGCAGUUACGCCAUUUUCUUCAAAUGUUUACCAAAUUACAUACUACAAAAAAUCGAUUUAUUUCAUUGAAACUGGACGAAGAAAAACAUACUAAUUUGUUUGAUAACAUCAAUCUACAUUAUUUUGGUAAGGGUAAAUACUUAUUGAUGCAUGUCACUUAUCUGUUUUCUGUUUUUUUCCUGUCCAAAUGAUCAGCAUUUGCAUACGAAAGUUGGUGGGGUAAGGAAUUUACAUUACGAGUUGUUUUCAGGACAGUUUUGAUUUUCAAAUUUUCCAAUCAUUUAGUAGACUAACGUUAAUGCACGUUAAUCUCCAUUUCAGACUUUAAUUGAGACUUUGUUUCAACAAAUUUAAUAUGUUAUGAAAGUUUAAAGUUAGAAAAAAGAGCUGUACAUAAGACAUCUUGCUCGACUUUUCUAAAUCAGAGCUUUGCCAGUAAAAGGGACAUAAUAGUCAGAAGCUAUUAAAGUACAGAGCUAUUGGUCAUUAUAUAAAACUUAAUUAAAAAUAUUCUAUGUUAAAAAGGGGCGUAACUCUGUCUAGAUUCAGACUUAAGAGUAUUGUUGCUCCUGGUGUAGACUUUGACAGUAAAUAACUGUUCUAAGUUUAAAAUCAGAAGCUUUAAUAGAUCUAGCAACACUCACAUAGAUAUUUGAUGUAUCAAAAACUUUGUAAAGUCAGCUAAGAAUGCUACAUUUUCAUAGCAGUAAAUAUUCGAUUCGAUAUUUGAUUACAGUGUACUGUAUGACAAUGUUAUUACCUUUUUUCACGAGUUCGCGUUGUUGUGCGUCUGCGGGUUAGAUUUUCUCAAUCCCUGGGGACUUACUUUUUAAUUUAAAAGGGCUAUACAUUCUAUUUUAAGGUUUUUAUUAGUCAGUCGAGAGCCAAAUGAAGACAAAUAUAUUUCUUCGCUCUUCGCUCGCUCCUGAUUUUCUCAAAAACCAAAAAAAAUAUUUAAAUUAUUUUUUCGCUCGCUGCCUCAAAUUUUUUAGAAAAAAAUCCGAUGAACAACUUAUCAAUUUGGUGUGGCCUUACUGCCCAAAGAAUGGAUUGAUUUGACACUAGAUACUGCAAUACAGGUAUGAGCUAAUUAUUUACUAAACUUUGUGUUGGCGUUACAAAAAUUGCAUGUGAUAUUUAUAUUUUGGUAGCUUGCAUAUCAAAAACCUGCUUACCAGUACUCUAGUUUGCACAAAAUUUAUGAGACGUGUUGUAAACUUCAGCUAAGCCUCAGCAUUGUGGUAUACAUUGUAACUGUGAAGUAGCUAGCAAAUAUGUUUAUCUGUAUUCAUAUUUUUGUUCAAAACCUAAUUUCACUUUGUCAUUGUGUUGCUUGUUUUGACUCUCUUCCUUAAUAUAUUAAUUUUGUUUAGUAUCUGUGAUAUUGUAAUGAUAAUUUGAUUUUAAGGAAUAAAGUUUUCUGUUGUACGGUCA